rnacentral:rRNA from 2 species
GACGGAGGGGGCUAGCGUUGUUCGGAAUUACUGGGCGUAAAGAGCGCGUAGGCGGUUUAGUAAGUUGGAAGUGAAAGCCCGGGGCUUAACCUCGGAAUUGCUUUCAAAACUGCUAGGCUAGAGUGUAGUAGGGGAUGAUGGAAUUCCUAGUGUAGAGGUGAAAUUCUUAGAUAUUAGGAGGAACACCGGUGGCGAAGGCGGUCAUCUGGGCUACAACUGACGCUGAGGCGCGAAAGCGUGGGGAGCAAACAGG